CCUACGGGCGGCAGCAGUGAGGACUAUUGGUCACUGGGCGCGAGCCUGAACCAGCCAAGUCGCGUGAGGGAGGCCGGCCCUACGGGUUGUAAACCUCUUUUGCCGGGGAGCAACGGGCGCCACGUGUGGCGUCACUGAGAGUACCCGGAGAAAACGCAUCGGCUAACUCCGUGCCAGCAGCCGCGGUAAUACGGGGGAUGCGAGCGUUAUCCGGAUUUAUUGGGUUUAACGGGUGCGUAGGCGGAGCGUUAAGUCAGUGGUCAAAUUGAGGGGCUCAACCCCUUCCCGCCAUUGAAACUGGCGUUCUUGAGUGGAAGAGAAGUAUGCGGAAUGCGUGGUGUAGCGGUGAAAUGCAUAGAUAUCACGCAGAACCCCGAUUGCGAAGGCAGCAUGCCGGCUUCCGACUGACGCUGAAGCACGAAAGCGUGGGGAUCGAACAGGAUUAGAGACCCCUGUAGUC
rnacentral:rRNA from 1 species